rnacentral:rRNA from 1 species
GACGAACGCUGGCGGCGUGCUUAACACAUGCAAGUCGAACGGAAAGGCCCUGCUGGUGUGGGGUGCUCGAGUGGCGAACGGGUGAGUAACACGUGAGUAACCUGCCCUUGACUUUGGGAUAACUUCAGGAAACUGGGGCUAAUACCGGAUAGGAGCUCCUGCUGCAUGGUGGGGGUUGGAAAGUUUCGGCGGUUGGGGAUGGACUCGCGGCUUAUCAGCUUGUUGGUGGGGUAGUGGCUUACCAAGGCUUUGACGGGUAGCCGGCCUGAGAGGGUGACCGGCCACAGUGGGACUGAGAUACGGCACAGACUCCUACGGGAGGCAGCAGUGGGGAAUAUUGCACAAUGGGCGGAAGCCUGAUGCAGCAACGCCGCGUGCGGGAUGACGGCCUUCGGGUUGUAAACCGCUUUCGCCUGUGACGAAGCGUGAGUGACGGUAAUGGGUAAAGAAGCACCGGCUAACUACGUG